rnacentral:rRNA from 1 species
GUACACUCCUACGGGAGGCAGCAGUGGGGAAUUUUGGAGAAUGGGCGAAAGCCUGAUCCAGCAAUGCCGCGUGAGUGAAGAAGGCCUUCGGGUUGUAAAGCUCUUUUGUCAGGGAAGAAACGGUGAAAGCUAAUAUCUUUUGCUAAUGACGGUACCUGAAGAAUAAGCACCGGCUAACUACGUGCCAGCAGCCGCGGUAAUACGUAGGGUGCAAGCGUUAAUCGGAAUUACUGGGCGUAAAGCGUGCGCAGGCGGUUUUGUAAGUCUGAUGUGAAAUCCCCGGGCUCAACCUGGGAAUUGCAUUGGAGACUGCAAGGCUAGAAUCUGGCAGAGGGGGGUAGAAUUCCACGUGUAGCAGUGAAAUGCGUAGAUAUGUGGAGGAACACCGAUGGCGAAGGCAGCCCCCUGGGUCAAGAUUGACGCUCAUGCACGAAAGCGUGGGGAGCAAACAGGAUUAGAAACCCCAGUAGUCCCAUGAU